rnacentral:rRNA from 1 species
UACGUAGGGGGCAAGCGUUGUCCGGAUUUAUUGGGCGUAAAGAGCGUGUAGGCGGCUAGGUAAGUCCGUUGUGAAAACUCGAGGCUCAACCUCGAGACGUCGAUGGAAACCAUCUAGCUAGAGUCCGGAAGAGGAGAGUGGAAUUCCUGGUGUAGCGGUGAAAUGCGCAGAUAUCAGGAAGAACACCAAUGGCGAAGGCAGCUCUCUGGGACGGUACUGACGCUGAGACGCGAAAGCGUGGGGAGCGAACAGG